ACCAGUAUCAAUUCUUAGCAUUUUUAAACAAUAUUUGAACGCGUUUAGAGGCAAACCUUAGUCCCCUGUUAGCUACAUUCAAAUGGAAUGAAUUUGUUUCAUGGGCUGGUGAUUCUUUAGAUAUUAUCACUCUAAUAUAAUGCAUUCUUGCAUCAAUGGGUUUAGUUCUUUCAUGAAAAAAUUGAAUUUUAUGUAAAUGAAUAGUACUCUAACUAUCAAAAUAUGCAACAAUGGGAUUAGACAAUUCUUUUAUGGCUAUGGUAGCAUCACAUAUUGUGCUUCAGUAGUAGAUCAUGUUCCAAAAGAUUGAAAUCGAGAAUGCCCAACUAAUGCAAGUUCCACACAAAGUAAACAUAUAUGCAUCAGUGGACUUUUUAUUAUUCCUAUCCACAACAAAGUCAAAAUCAACAAACACUUUAAGGGCCUAUUUGAUACCCUUGUUUUUCAUGGAGAAUGGAAAAUAUUUUUCAUUCCCACCUAAAAAUGCAUAUUUGAUGCACCCAUAAACUAUUCAAAAACCCAAACUAGCUACAAAAUCAGAACAUCACAGCCAAUAUUUCAGGUAUAAGAGUACUGUAGCAAGACCAAUUUACAAGGAUCACAAUUGGUCUAGAAACUUAGAGAAGAUUAUACCCAAAAAGGAAGCAGCAGAAGAAGAAGCACCAUACGAAGUCAGAGCGAAA
rnacentral:lncRNA from 1 species